ACUUGUGCAAUUGACUUUCAGGAACGCCAGAGGAAAUAUCUGAGCCUCAGUCCUUGGGAUAAAGCCACCCUCAGCAUGGGCCGGCUGAUCCUGUCCAACAAGACAGCUCGUACUAUUGCAUUUUUCUACACUCUGCUGUUGCAUUGCCUGGUCUUCCUGGUACUCUACAAAACUGCUUGGAGUGAGAGUAUGGGAAGGGACUGCACUGCUUACUGUGCUAAGAAGUAUGCUGAUCAUUUGCACAAGUUCCAUGAGAAUGGAGACAAUGGUGACAUGUGGCAGUGAAGGCUGAAUUUGAGGCUUUUCACCACCCCAAGGGGAAUGUUAAUUGGUCACACGUGUUCCACUUUCCUUGUCCCUGCCGUGACCAUUGUGCACAGGGCUGUGCCCAGCAGCUUGACUUGAACCUUUUAAAAAUUACCUUUGUGCUUUGUAAGGUUGAGAAGCGGUGUUCCCUUCCCCCCAUUCCGACACUUGUAGGUUAGAAGCUUCAAUAAUGAAUCGUAAUUUUGCAAAAUGUAAGUACAAGGAAGCAGGUUCCAGCUGGACUCUAGGACUUCCGUGUGUUCCCUUGGGUGAUGGUGUCUGAAGCUUUAAGAAUCAUUAGAGUAAAUACUGUAGUUGGGAAGAAUCCACCCUCCUUUCAUUUAGAUUUGCUUUAUAAAACUGUAGGAGGAAGAGAUCUGUUCCAUUGAAAGCCAACAUCUUCAUAUAGGUUUCGAGGGCUGGGGAAGAGAUUGGAAUCCUGACCAUCACCUCAUAACGUCUGUGAAGUCCAACCCAUGAGCCUGGCUACCCAUGAAAUGGGGAAAACUGACCACUUGUAGUGGACUUUACAGUAAUUUAAACAGCCUCAUAUUAAAGAAAUGCGUUCAUUCUCCAGCAAAUUCUUAAGUGAUCAAAGACUCCAAAUUUUACUAGACGUGGAAAUGGCUGGAUGUAAGACCCUGCAAUAAAUUGGCUUUCCUUUGGUGAGGUCAGUCAUCCAGAGACAGGAAGUUACUGUUGCGGUUGCUGUCCUGCUGUAUUUCUUAUUGAAUUAAGAUCUCGUUCAGCUCUGUAUUUAAUCUCAUGCGCAUUUCUUGUGGCCUUUGAGCUCGCUGUCAAGUAAAAGCAGACAGGUUUUUUGUAGGCAUUGUUGAACUGGAGACUGACUUACCCGUGAAAUGGGACUUGAUAGUUGGGAUUGGAAUUGGCUGAGGGAAGUGGUGCUAAUGAGCCAGGAGCUCAUUGGAAAGGUAGUGGGCACUCCUCGGAAAAUCAAAAUGCUUCUGCUGCACAUUAGUUGCUUUGCUGCAAAGGAUGUAUUAGCACAAUACAAGAUGUCUGAUGGACAAAGCUGCUUGCAUUGCAGCCUAGCUGGUUACUGUCUGACCCUUCUUGGCUGCUCUUCUGCUUGAAUAAGUUAAUUGUUGACAGUGGGUUAUUUUAGAGAUAUAAAAUAUAUGAAAAGCUGAUUUAUAUAGAGCUUGUAAGUUUCCUGCAAGGUUCUGCACACCUUCUGCUUCCAUUGACCACAAUUAUCAUUGAAAGUGCUCGGUACCAUGCCAAAUCAGGCCUUUACUCUAUACAUAAUAGCAUGGUCCAUUCAUGCUCAGUUAAAAUCCCCAUUCUAGGCCAGAAGAAUGUUGCCUCGUGGUUAAUGCUGCCUAGCAGAUAUCCACAUGCAUGUGUUAGUAAGUGUGGGUCUAUAAAUAGAAUAUGUAGUCAAUGAUAAAACUUCCCAUAUGCCAUGAGCACUGAAGAUCUAUUUAUAGUUGCUCAGCCUGUAGAAAACAGUAAAAUAUUAAUUGCAAGGAAGAUAAUAGGCCGGGGCCAAUCAGCACCUGUCUACACAGAGAGCUUCAAGAAGAGUGGGGGCUUGUUUAGAAAAGAGAGAUGUCUGUAGUGGAUGUGAUUGCAUUGUUACAAAUCUCUCAUUGAGGGAGAAGUGGGAUGCGCACCAGUAAGUUACCAGUGUUAAUCCUGUUUUUACGUUGCAGCGAAUAUACUGGGGAUUCAUGCUCAUGCAACUAUAUUGAGAGGGCUACAGCAUCAUAAAAAGAGACAGGGCCUAAAGUACUGGUGUGCUUGUUAAAAUGAACGGGACUCUCGCAACUCCACAUGCUGGUUUUUUUCCUUGUGAAGCAGCAGGGCUGUCUGAACUGCAGCAUUUUGUUUGCUGUCUCCCAGUUUCCUCUCUUCGAAUAACUCAGUGAAAAGUGUUUCUUCUCAGAGAUCGGGAUCAAAACACAGCCCAUUUUCCAUAGAUUUGUAUCCAGCUUAGUCCUGUGCUGCUGCUUCAAAGCAAUGUUUAGCCACAUUUUUAAGAGGAAGGCAACCUUAUCUGGAAGGACUUCGGAUUUCUAGAGAUGAUGCACGCUCUCUCUCAGGGCCUGAGUAGGUGUGGUGCGGAGCCCCUUCCAGAUCUCAUUGAUUUCCGAGGCAGCGUACGGGGCCCAGCACUUAUCCAAGUGGACCUGUAAAGCAGACAAGGGUUUUCUAGGGCCAGAGAAAGUUCGGGGUGCUUUUCAUAUCCAAAAAAGGUAAUGAUCUUUAUUUACAGAAUGAAUAGGUGUUUUGCUGUACUUGCUAAAAAGAGCAAUCUUUGUAGGACUAGGAUAUUUGCUAUGUUAGGCUAGUUUCUUUUAGGUUUCAUGGGGAAAGUCAAACUUACUUUAUUCAGAAGCUAUACUGAGUGGAUUAGAAUUGCAAAACAUGCUUAAAAUUUGGCACAUUUAAUUUUCCGUAAAUGGUUGAAAAUAGAUAUUGUUGAGCUAUGCAAGUCAUGAUCAAAUAAACGUAGAUAUGCAUCAAGACC